UACGAAGGGGGCUAGCGUUGCUCGGAAUUACUGGGCGUAAAGCGCACGUAGGCGGCUUUCUAAGUCGGGGGUGAAAUCCUGGAGCUCAACUCCAGAACUGCCUUCGAUACUGGAGAGCUCGAGUCCGGGAGAGGUGAGUGGAACUGCGAGUGUAGAGGUGAAAUUCGUAGAUAUUCGCAAGAACACCAGUGGCGAAGGCGGCUCACUGGACCGUUGUUGACGCUGAGGUGCGAAAGCGUGGGGAGCAAACAGG
rnacentral:rRNA from 1 species